rnacentral:lncRNA from 1 species
CUUUGAUGGGCAUUCUAUGUUCCACCAAGGUUGGAUCUAACCCUGGCAUCUCGGUAUAAUGCCAAGCAAAACAGUCUUUGAAUUCUUGCAAAAGACAAACAAUCCUUGCCCGAUCAUCAACCCCCAUUAAACCACUGAUAUGUAUUGGUCUCGGAUCCUCCUCUGUUCCUAAAUUAAUAACUUCCAGAGGAUCCUGGACUUCUGGUGGUGGCUUAUCCGGUUCUGUACACAAAAAUUCGACCAGCUCCGGGCUCUCGGGCAAGUCGUCUGGCCCGUCUAGAUCAUAUAUGCACUCGGCCAUUUGAAUGGCCCUAUCC